UACGUAGGUGGCGAGCGUUGUCCGGAAUUACUGGGUGUAAAGGGCGCGUAGGCGGGAAUGCAAGUCAGAUGUGAAAUACCAAGGCUUAACCUUGGAACUGCAUCUGAAACUGUGUUUCUUGAGUGUCGGAGAGGAAAGCGGAAUUCCCCGUGUAGCGGUGAAAUGCGUAGAUAUGGGGAGGAACACCGGUGGCGAAGGCGGCUUUCUGGACGAUAACUGACGCUGAGGCGCGAAAGCGUGGGUAGCAAACAGG
rnacentral:rRNA from 1 species